rnacentral:rRNA from 1 species
CCUACGGGAGGCAGCAGUAAGGAAUCUUGCGCAAUGGGCGAAAGCCUGACGCAGCGACGCCGCGUGGGCGAUGAAGGCCUUCGGGUUGUAAAGCCCUUUUCUGGGGGACGAGGAAGGACGGUACCUCAGGAAUAAGUCACGGCUAACUACGUGCCAGCAGCCGCGGUAAAACGUAGGUGGCAAGCGUUAUCCGGAUUUACUGGGCGUAAAGCGCACGCAGGCGGUUUCGUUAGUCGGACGUGAAAGCUCCUGGCGUAACUGGGAGAGGUCGUUCGAUACUGCGGAACUUGAGGUUGGGAGAGGGGUGUGGAAUUCCCGGUGUAGGGGUGGAAUGCGUAGAGAUCGGGAGGAACACCAGUGGCGAGGGCGGCACCCGGGCCCACACCUGACGCUGAGGUGCGAAAGCGGGGGGAGCAAACAGGAUUAGAUACCC